rnacentral:rRNA from 1 species
AGGACGAACGCUGGCGGCGUGCUUAACACAUGCAAGUCGAGCGGAAAGGCCCUUCGGGGUACUCGAGCGGCGAACGGGUGAGUAACACGUGAGCAAUCUGCCCUUAGCUUCGGGAUAGCUCCGGGAAACCGGAAUUAAUACCGAAUACGACCACGGCCGACAUCAGCUGUGGUGGAAAGUUUUUCGGCUAGGGAUGAGCUCGCGGCCUAUCAGCUUGUUGGUGAGGUAACGGCUCACCAAGGCGACGACGGGGUA